GGAGCUUCAGGAUUUGGACACCAAUAUUCGCAUGGAGGUGCAGCAGGAUAUGGAAAACAAUAUUCACAUGGAGGUGCGUCGGGAUAUGGACACCAAUAUUCUCAUGGAGGUGCAUCAGGAUAUGGACAGCAACUUUCUCAUGGAGGUUCAUCGGGAUAUGGAAAACAAUAUUCUCAUGGUGGUGCGUUAGGAUAUGGACACCAAUAUUCUCAUGGAGGUGCGUCAGGAUAUGGACACCAAUAUUCUCAUGGAG
rnacentral:lncRNA from 1 species